GAUGAACGCUGACAGAAUGCUUAACACAUGCAAGUCUUUGGCGAAGCUGUGCUUGCACAGCCUAGCCAAGGCGGACGGGUGAGUAACGCGUAAGGAACUUGCCCUGCAGUCAGGGAUAACAGACGGAAACGACUGAUAAGACCUGGUAAAGUCAGGCGGACUCAUGUCCAGCCUGAUGAAAAGAGAUGCUGCAGGAGAGCCUUGCGUCCUAUUAGCUUGUUGGUGGGGUAACGGCCCACCAAGGCGAUGAUAGGUAGCCGGCCUGAGAGGGUGGACGGCCAAAAGGGGACUGAGAUACGGCCCUUACGCCUACGGGAGGCAGCAGUGGGGAAUAUUGGACAAUGGGGGCAACCCUGAUCCAGCAAUUCUGUGUGCACGAUGAAGGUUUUCGGAUUGUAAAGUGCUUUCAGCAGGGAAGAAAAAAAUGACGGUACCUGCAGAAGAAGCGACGGCUAAAUACGUG
rnacentral:rRNA from 1 species